GGAGAGGUUUAUUUGGCAUUCAUGGUUUCAGAGGGUUCAGUCCUUGGUUGGCUGGCUCUGAGGCAGGAGCAUCAUGGUGGAAGGGUGUGGUGGAGCAAAGUUGUCUAGUUCCCAGCAAGCAGGCAGCACAGCAGGGCAAUGGUGGCAGAGAGGAAGGGAGCAAUUACAGUACCCAGGGCCUCACCUCCAUGACCCACUGCACACAUCCAGAAGUGGGCUUUACUGAUCCCAUGGGCAGCUCUCAAUCCAAUCAAGUUGGCAAUCCAGUUCAACUGUCACAACUGACAUUCUGUCUUUGACCAUGUGAAAGAGAACCACACCAUCUAGAAUAGGAGAGAUGGAAGGAAGAGUUGGAAUAAGACCCAGUCCUUCCAUGCUGAAGCAAACUUUCAAAAAGUGCCCCCUGACUGCCAGGCCUGUCACCCCAGCCUCUGCAGCUGUGUUCCAGAGCCGACUUUAUGUAAAUGCUGGAGGGAGCUGCUCAGCACUUUUCCCCCCGGCCUGGUGACUUCCGCUGCCCAACAGUACUGCCAAAUCUGUCCCCAGCAGCUGCGGCACCUCGUGGCCACCAUGUGGUCGAACUCCCUGGGCCUCAGCUCCCAGCCGCUGGCCAGUCCAGUCUCCCUGUGCCCUGGACACCCGUGACAGUGAGCUGCCCAGGCAGCAGGAAGAGCUCUGGGUCCUCGCUUGCUACUCUGUGUGGCUCUGGAAGGGACUUCGCCCAGCCGCUGGGGCCGGUCAGGAGUGAGGGGAGGGUGUCAGGCUCUGGAGAUGGAGGUGGCGGGUAACGUGUGAAAAGCCCAGUCGCUCCAGCUCAGGCCCUGUCGGGUGUGGAGGAAGCAAGGAGGAGGGAGCCCCCUCAGUGUCUCUGACCUCUCAGCCGCUCUGCUCUGCCAGGUGGCUCAGAGAGAACAGCUCGGGAGAGUUCUCCAGGGUGCCAUUAUUCUCAUCUUGCAGAGGAGGAACCUGAGGCUGAGAAGGGAAGGGACUUGUCCAAGGCUAACGGCUGGGAGGCAACUUCCACAGCCCAGCUACACAGGCCGAGUGCAGAGUCCCUUGCAUGGGUGCCAUCGCCUCCCCCAACCACAGUCCCGCUCUGGAUGCUUCCCUAGUGUCUUCACGUGCACAACAUAUGGUCCUUACUGCUGAAAACCCAAACGGGGGAAGAACCGUUUUAAAACGCGUUAGAAUAUGAAAGAGUGAUACAAAGGCAAACAUUAUCUCAAGAUAGGUGGAAGAAAUACUCCAAAAGAGAUAUGAAACACAGGAGAUAUAAGCAAAUUUCCUGACAGUCAAAAGGAGACAGCACUUCCCACUGAAGGAAAAUUGUAGCAUUGGGCUGGGACUUGAAUAAUAUUUUCCUAGGAGGAGGAGGAGGAUGCUGUUGGGAAGGAAAAAUCUGUCCUCUAUCCCAGUGAUGGCAAACAUUUUAGAGCUUACGAUGAUAACAAACAGCCUCCUAUGGCACAUAUGCCAGAGGUUUGCCACCACUGCAUCUAUCCUUCCAGGAGCAGUAUGUGGGCCUCUGCUAAUUAAACCAUCAAAAGACAGAUUUUAUUCACACACACAGUGUACGUGGGAGUUCAUGAUUACUCAAGGGGGAAGUUGGAAUUUGGGGCUUAUAUACCAUCGUAGUAGGGCAGAAGGGUACUUCUGGGAAAAUAAAUGACUUUUAGGAGAGAUAAAUGAUCUCUUAGGAACAUAGGUUCUCAGAACAAGGAAACUAAAGUACUCCGCCUUGUUAUCCUGAGUGGUUUCCGCCUUGUUAUCCUGAGUGGUUUGAGCUAAAGGACCCUGGGGAAACCUAGGCGGUAUCCUGGUCCGUUUCCUGCUGUCUUGUCUCCUUGUUUUUUCCUGGAACUGAGUCAUAGGAACUAGAUUUCUUCUUCCUCAAGAAGGGUCAUAGAAACUAGAACCCCUUUCCUUGAAAGCAAGCCAUAAAAUCUAGAAAGAUCUCUCUCCGUUCUCCCUUGAAGACUCUCAUUCCAGAGGAGUGCUGUCCCCCACCCCGAAG
ensembl:lncRNA